CACUCGACAAACUUGCCCUUGAGUGAGUCUCUUGUGUGACGGGAAGGUGAUAAUGUGCACGUGCAUGUUGGUGGUAUUAUUUCUCCUCAGUCUGCCAGGUGUGCGAUGUUGGCAUUCUGUGACCUACACUUCCUCAAGAGUCUGUGGUCUUAAAGGGACAUCAGUUAUCUUGCCCUGCAAAUAUGAAUAUUCCGGGGUUGGCCACUAUAUCAAAGGAGAGUGGUACAAUAAGAAUAAGGGAACAGUCAGAGCACAUAAUCCUCCUGGUUAUGACUGCAGUCUGACAAUAGACAAACUGUCAAAUGAUCACUCUGGUGUUUAUCAGUAUCAGUUUUACACAACCCUACACCAUAGCUGGAUGACAGGCAAACAUGGAGUUACUCUCUCAG